UCAAACAUGAACUCUGAUCCGGAGAGAUUUCUCUCUAGUCUCUACGAAAUAUACCGACAUUUUUGGUGAGCUCAAAAGGCUGCCUCUUGCGAUCAGAUACAUACAGAUAACAUCUCCCAUUCUAUUCCAUUCCCAUUCCAGUCCCAGUCAAAUUUCCUUCCUACGUGUGAACGCCCCAGCUCAGUCGGCCGGCCAACUGGUGCACGUUUUUGCAAUCGCACGGCAUCCUAAUCAUAAACAUAAACAGUCAGAAGCAGUACUUCCAUCCUGUAGGAUUCAAUUUCCCCGGGAAUUUUUCUUUUUCUUUUCUCUCCCCAGAGGUGUGGUAAUAGAUUUGCCAACCGACUGCGACUGUGUCUAUUUCGGCGGGUAAAGCUUGAAUCCACAGCCUUGUUAUAUAGCAAGUGGGUCGUGAUUUUUCACCGGAAAAUCAUCUGGGUAGACUUUUGGCUUGUUGGUUUCCAGGGAGGUUUGAAUUGGGUGCAUGUGCUUUAUAAAGGUGGCGGACCCAGGCGACACCGGUAAGUACGUCAGAUUCCUGGCGGCCGAUGAAGAAGGCAGGCCUUCGGAGCAAACUGGUCAAGAAAUGCAACAGCCUGAGCCGCCGCCGCCGCCGCAGCAAGAGGCCGCGACACCGAUGUUUCCGGGGUACAGUCUGAGUAGAGAGAUGUCGGAGAUGGUGACGGCGUUGACGCGUGUGGUCUCAGGCCAGAGCUCCGUCCAGGGGCCUAGCGGCUCCGGGACCCGGCCUUCUUUUGUUGGCGGCUCUUCUGGGAUUUACUCCUCGAAUUUACCGAAUUCGUCGGAUUACUCCUCGUCGAGCUCCGGCUCGUGGGCCGGCCAGAAGAGAGGCCGUGAAGAGGAAAGCGUCACCCAGUUCUCCGACGAUCAGCUCCAUAGGGUUUAUAGAGGGUUUAGUGAUUUCAGAACCACCUCUCAUGGAGAUUCAUCUUCUCUCGCUACCACCGCGCAAGAUGAAGCUAGCAAUAUUGUGACAGCAUCCUCAUCCUCCUCCUCCGCCCCCGCUUCCACCGCCGUACAGCAAGUGGAAACGGCUUCAUACGAAGAGGGUGGCGGAGAGAGGCGGCGGAGAUACAGAGGAGUGAGGCAGCGGCCGUGGGGGAAAUGGGCGGCCGAGAUAAGGGACCCACACAAAGCGGCCAGGGUGUGGCUUGGCACUUUCGACACCGCCGAGGCCGCCGCCAGGGCCUACGAUGAGGCCGCCCUGAGAUUCCGAGGCAACAGAGCCAAGCUCAACUUCCCCGAAAAUGUUAGAUUGUUGCCGCCGGUCCACCCUCCGGCGGCGACCCAGUUGGCCGUUUCCAGUUCCCCGGCCACCCUUUUGACGCCAGUCCAGCCGCCGCCCCCGCCCCCGCCCAUCCAAACCUCGGACGUUGCCAGAGACUACUGGGAGUACUCUCAGCUUCUACAGAGCUCCGGCGAAUUCCAUGGCCGGCAGCCCACCACCUUACUGGAGCAAAUGUUCUACGCUUCUCAAACGCCGGCUUCUUCUUCUUCACCUUCGGUUGGAUCUUCCUCGGCUUCUGCGACUUCUUCCUCAUAUCCUCUGCUCUUUUCAAGCCAGCAAAUAGGUGGUGACUUCCGUCGACCGGGAAGUCAGAAUCAGGGUGGCGGAUCAGAUUUCCCGGCACCCCCGUGGACCGGUUCCGGCCAGUACCCUCCCUCGUCUUCUAGGUAGUAUUAAAAACAUGUUCGGCACAAUAUAUGCUUAAAGGGCCCCAUGUGAGUUAGGCUUCUUGAGAGCUAGGAACAAUGCAGCCCAUGUUGGCUCCGCCGUCAGCCGCCAUUUCCUCCGACGACCAUGUAGCCACCUGCAGCUCUAAAAAUGCCUUUUCGGCCAGCUGCUAAAAGGCCAUCUCAGAAAACUAAUACGGCCGGGGCCACAUGACCAGUCCAGUUCGGGGCGCUUCUUCUAAUUUUCAACUUACGAAUAAUAAUUAUUAUUAAAUGAGACUAUACGUUACAUGAGAUGUUUUUUUAUUUUGAAUUUCUAAUUUUUUUUUUAUUAUCACUCAAUGUGGACAGAACAUUUCUGUCCCCUCUAAAAAGUAAUUAGUUUAAAUUCCA